UACAGAGGGUGCAAGCGUUAAUCGGAAUUACUGGGCGUAAAGCGUGCGUAGACGGUUAUCUAAGUCAGGUGUGAAAGCCCCGGGCUCAACCUGGGAAUUGCAUUUGAGACUGAAUAGCUAGGGUGCGGAAGAGGGAAGCGGAAUUUCCGGUGUAGCGGUGAAAUGCGUAGAUAUCGGAAGGAACACCAGUGGCGAAAGCGGCUUCCUGGUCCAGCACCGACGUUCAGGCACGAAAGCGUGGGGAGCAAACAGG
rnacentral:rRNA from 1 species